GAAGAAAACAGAAGAAAGAAAGAAAGAAAGAAAGAACUUAAGAAAGAGGAUUAGCACCCCAGUGUUUUGUAGGGUGGUGUAUAAAAUAAGUAGAAGACACUUCUGUCAAAAAUGGAAAUAAAUUGUUUAAAAACAUUCAGCACUUGUUACUGCUUGUUUCCGAUUCGUUUUAGUUCCGACGUCCGCUGCUGCAGCGAAACUUUCGCAAUCCGCCGACGCUCUGCUGUCCUGCUUUACACGAGGGUGGAGGAGGUAGCUAGGCAUGUACAUGUACAUGCCAUUUUAGAGUGCGUGUGUAUGUGUGUGUGUGUGUGUGUGUGUGUGUGUGUGUGUGUGUGUGUGGAGCGUGUCAUCACAUUUAAGGUCUUCAAAGUCUUGUUGGAGAGCAGCUGCUGGAUAAACAAUCAAACAUGAAGAACAUUUUUCUCCCACAGACAGUGAUUUCAGUCUUUAAUCAGAUUGAAUAAAUUCAUAAAGGCUAGAUAUCAAAUCAUCAGCUUUAAGAUUCAGAUCCGAGUCCUACAGAUGCUGUUUCUCCUCUGACACAAAGCUGUCAUCACUUUUUUUUAAACAAGUCACUGGUAUUUGAGAAUCAACCAUUAUGUAAUCAGAUGUGGGCGUUACCUAACACACACUGUAAACACAACAACAACAACAACAACAACACGCUCAGAUCCCUUCCUGUUCUUAUUACAUGAUAUUCCUAACGCGAACGUGUGUAACCCUUUCAUGUGUUUAAAAUAAUUGAUUCAUAUCAUUUAUUUAUUUGCUUCACUUCAUUUGCGUGUUAUUACUUAAACUGCGUGUUCUAUUCAUUUUAACCUUUAAAACACUUACAAAAAUAAACGUAUUUAUUUAUAGGAACAGCAAAAAAAUUACGUCUCAAAUUUAACAACAACAACAACAAAAAAAAAAACAUUCAAUGUGUUUCUAAAUAAAACCUGUAAACAUUCAGCUCUUAAACUAUUUAAGAUUUGUGCCCAAACUAUAGAAAUGAUCAUUUGUAUAACAAAUUCUUGAUAUACGAUGCAUCUGAUUCUGCAGGUAAAACCGUCUAUCUUCAGUUUAAAGCCAAAAGUCAACUGGAUUAAAAAGUAUGCUUUAAAUAAUAGGCGUACAAACUUUUGUUUUUAAAGAUAUACCAAACUGCAUCUACAGGAGGAAUCGUUCUUAAACUUAUUGCCCGUAAAUGCAUGAAAGUGUUAAAGCGCUAACUGCCUUAUUCUCCUACACGUGAGCUAACAACCGCUUCUGAUUGGCCGUCAUCGUUUUGAUUGACAGGGGAGGGAGAGAAUAAAUCCGCC
ensembl:lncRNA